rnacentral:misc_RNA from 1 species
GGAGCAUAGCAUGUAGUCCAUAACUAACUUUUCCUUAUAUCCACAAUAAUUAGUGAUUAAACAAGAAGAUGUAUUUAAAAAUCCAAGUGACAUUAUUCAUUAAGUACUAAGAACUGCUAUGCUUGAUUACUAAAACAUUGAAGCUCUCAAGUGCUUAAGCCAAGUUCAUCUUCAUUUCUACAAUGAACUUUCAAGAAACCAAGGAGAU